AAUUUACAGUAUAUUUUAAGAGGGUUGUGAUGCAAAUUAUAUGAUUGAUUAGCCCGAAGAAAGCCUGAAAACUAGUUUACAUAGGAAGCAGUUUAAGGGAAGAAAAGAAUAUACUACUGAGAAUACCCAGGAGCUGCCACUUCACAACAUAAUCUAAAGAAAAGCAGCAGAUUUGGUAACUGAAGACAAGCAGGACACAUAGAUUUUUUUUUUUUUUAGAACCAAAAUCAGAAAAAGCACAUAAGACUGGUGUUGUCAUAGUGAAGAAAAAAGUCAUGCAAUAGUGGCAUAUUCUAAGUUAUAUGUUACCUUGUUUUUUAAGACUACAAUGGUUUAAAAUCUGUACUUAGCCAAGUCUUGAAUUGCGCCCUUGAAUUAGGAAUUAGGUAAAGGAGGAAAUGUUGCAGCUACCAAAAGAAUGCUUCAAUAAGCCAGCGGAAAGAGUACUUAGGUAUUCAAUUCCUAUAUUUAUUACCAAGGCAGAGACCAUCAAAGGAAAGUUUGAAGUUCUCAGAGGUGAACACAAGAAGCGUGGAUGUGGCAUGUGAAGGGCAUGUGCUACAGUCCAGUCCCCAAGGAAUUUCACACCACUUGGCCAUCUAACAAAACAGCAAAGAAGGGAGCUGGAUAGCCUACUGUUAGCAAACCAUGGUCAAUAGUCAGGAGUGAGAACUGGGAGGAAUUGUUCAUGUCUGUAAUAUACAACCAGAUUUCUGGUAUGUUUCUAUGCAUGAUUGCUUUGCUCUGAUAUCAUGCUUUGCUCCGUUGUUGUGAUACCUCCAGAUUCCAGGUCAUAUAUCCUCUCAAAC
rnacentral:lncRNA from 1 species